CACGUAGGGGGCAAGCGUUGUCCGGAUUUAUUGGGCGUAAAGAGCUCGUAGGCUGUUCGAUAAGUCGGGUGUGAAACCUCCAGGCUCAACCUGGAGACGCCACCCGAUACUGUCAUGACUAGAGUCCGGUAGGGGAGCGUGGAAUUCCUGGUGUAGCGGUGAAAUGCGCAGAUAUCAGGAGGAACACCAGCGGCGAAGGCGGGUUGCUGGGCUGACACUGACGCUGAUUGUGCGAAAGCUAGGGGAGCGAACGGG
rnacentral:rRNA from 1 species